UUAUGCUUAUAAUUACUUAAAUGAGUAAAUGCUUCUAAUUACUUAAAUGGGAUUACUUAAAUUAAUUAUAUUCUUACGAAACUUACAACUAUAACAAUUUCGGUAACGAAUUAGCAUGAGCUAAUAUAUUCCUUAUAAGCUAUAUGUUUCUAUAUGUCUCAGUAAACAACAAUUAAUAUUAUGCUAUUAUUAAUGUUAUUAUUAUAUAUUAUAUAUAUCUUCCUAUUUAUAUCCUACUUGUAAGAUUAGAAUAAUUCUUCACAGAACUUAUAAAAUUAUAUCAAUUCAAGCUAAUGUAUUCCUUGUUUCAGAUACCACAGCUAAUUUACAAUUAAUUCCAGCAAAAGCAGAUACCACAGCUAAUUUACGACCAGUUCAGGCAAAAAGCAGGUCAAUUACAACAUCAACAUUAUCACAAUAAUAAUUAUAUCGCAAGUACUUUAUGAUUUAAUUAAUUUAAGAAAUUAUUACCUUUGCGCAAGAUAGAAAUAGGAGUCUGUCAAUUACACAGUUCACUUAUCUGUAUAUUUACUUAUUAUAUUAUUUAUACACGAUAUGACAUCUAAAUUAUUUAUAUUAUACAAUGACCAUAGAUAAUAUAUGAUAUGUCUGCUACACCAAUAAUAUCUAUUAUAUUUGGUUUAUAUAACACAUCACGUCUGGCAACUACAUGCUUUUUAUUAUUAAGUAUCCAGUUUACCAGACUUAGAUUAACAAGACAGCAAUCUAACAAAGCGUUUGUUCUAUACUCUGCGCAGCACAAUGUAUUAUAUAUAAUAACUCAAUCCAAAUAUCAAUGUCUUAACUCAUCUUAUCUAAGAUUUGGCAGAUAGUAAGGUCAAUAAUACUAUUUACGUGUUA